rnacentral:rRNA from 1 species
AGUGAACGCUGGCGGUAGGCCUAACACACGCAAGUCGAACGGCAGCACAGUAAGAGCUUGCUCUUACGGGUGGCGAGUGGCGGACGGGUGAGGAAUACAUCGGAAUCUACUUUUUCGUGGGGGAUAACGUAGGGAAACUUACGCUAAUACCGCAUACGACCUACGGGUGAAAGCAGGGGAUCUUCGGACCUUGCGCGAUUGAAUGAGCCGAUGUCGGAUUAGCUAGUUGGCGGGGUAAAGGCCCACCAAGGCGACGAUCCGUAGCUGGUCUGAGAGGAUGAUCAGCCACACUGGAACUGAGACACGAUCCAGACUCCUACGGGAGGCAGCAGUGGGGAAUAUUGGACAAUGGGCGCAAGCCUGAUCCAGCCAUACCGCGUGGGUGAAGAAGGCCUUCGGGUUGUAAAGCCCUUUUGUUGGGAAAGAAAAGCAGCAGGUUAAUACCCCGCUGUUCUGACGGUACCCAAAGAAUAAGCACCGGCUAACUUCGUG